GUCCAAGAUGCAGAGUACUCCUUCAUUGAAGAACCAUUUGAAGUCGUUUGUGGGUGUGGCUUGUGAAUCAUCAUCAGUAGACUUGUGUAAAACGUUGUGAGGAUCCGGAACCACGGAAACACACGGCCAAUCAGAGAGCAGUUCAGCCCUUUGCAGAAGUAACAGAAGCUGAAGCUAAUCUUAAUGUAGGACCUGUCAAAUACGCCAGCUAGCGAACAUUAGCAUGGCUAGUUAACGCUAGCUAACUAAACCAGGUAAUAAAUAUUAGCAAAAGAUUCUGUUUUUAUUAAUCAGCUGUUGUUUAGUAAUAAUCAGGUCUUCAUUAUUGAGUAAGUGUUUUAGCAGUCAGUGUUUUAAUCAAUCAGCUUUUGAAAUUAAUCUCUAACGUCCUUUCAGUAGUCCCUUCGUUUUUAUUAAUAAAUCUUUUUUUAGUAAUUAAGUCUUUUUUAGUAAUCAAUUUUUUUAAAUAAAAAAUGAUCUGUUUGUGUCAUUGAUUCUUGUUUAGUAAUAAAUUCUCUUUUGAAGAAAUAGUUUUCAGAGACUCUUUAAUGUUCGGUUCUUAUUUUAGUAAUAAAUUCAACUUUUAAGGAACUGAAUCUUUUAAAAUGAUCGACUCAUUUAUUAUUAUAUAUAUAUAAUAUAUUUAUGUUAAUUGAUUCAUGGAACAAAUAAUGAGCUGUAUACGUUUUUUAGUACGUGAUUUACAGUUUUUAUGUAAAUAAUUCAUUAUUUUAGUAAACUAUUUGCUUAUUAGUAAUCGAUUAUUUGUUUUUGUUAAAAGAAAAGAAGUAGGAAUUGUUUCUGAAAACUUUUCAGAUCAGAAUCAAUGGAAAGAGCCACAUGUCUGUUUUUCUGAUUAAGCGUUGCACACUUCCCUUCAAUCUUUGUGAUGCCACAAACAAAAUAGCUGACGUGUGAAUAAGAGAAACCACUAGCUAACUAACGUAGCGAACCUGACAACGAUGAAAACAAAUGAAAAGUCGAUGGAACAAAAUAAGUACAUAUUCAGGUAAAAAAUCACUUUCCUUUAUCAUUAUUUAAAAAAGAGACGCUUUCACUUUCACUUACGCUUACGAAUCGUUGUGUGUUUACUUAUUUUUUUCGAGGCUUUGGUUAGCUAUUUAGUUAUCUAGCUAGCACUGAACUGAAGAGACCAUCCACUUCUAAUGCCCAUAAUAAAGCAACACGUGUGUGUGUGUGUGUGUGUGUGUGUGUGUGUGUGUGUGUGUGUGUGCGUGUGUGUUCUGCAGCCGCGUUCAACUGUUAGUGCUACAAAUUGUGACAGAAUUGUUUUACUGCUGUACAAUCAGGCAGUGGCCCAGACAUACCACACACACACACACACACACACACACACAAAAUCUGUAUCCCAUAUUUAUAAUUUUACCACAUCCUAACAAUAACACACGCAGCACUGGUGCAAAACACACAGCCAGAGCUAAUGAAUCUCUCUCUCUCACACACACACACACCCAAACACACACAGCCACAGAGAGCGUUAAGUAAAACCAGCUGUGUGAUUGGGGUGGGUUGUGGGGGGGGGGGGGGGGUGUUAGAGGGACAGAGAGAGACAGAAAGACAGUGUGUGUGUGUGUGUGUGUGUGUGUGUGUGUGUGUGUGUGUGUGUGUGUAUGUGUGUGUGUGUGUGUGUUAAAGGAAUAGUUUACUCAGGUAUUAACGGUACAAAGUGUCUCCUAUGUUUUGUGCUUGAGGUUACAGUGAUAAAGUCUGUCACCCAAAAUCUUAUUCAUAAACAGUCUGUUCUGUACGUGGUUCAGGAGACACUAUCUGACACAGAGGAGUCUUAGCAAAAUGCGCUAAUAUAAAAACACAAAUGAAGUGAUUCCGGUUGCCCAAGAUGGCGGCCAUCGUAAAUAACCUUCGAGUGUUGAGCUACAUGAUGAAGUGUGACAGGAAGCCCAUACUAGCAAAGAUUUUGCGUGACUUCCACUACUUGUUAGCUACAUUAGCAUCCAAACACGCCUCAGCUGUUCGUCUACUUUGGCCAAAAAUGUUCCUUUAAGAAAGAGAGUUUGUGUGUGUGUGUGUGUGUGUGUGUGUGUGUGUGUGUGUGUGUGUGUGUGUGUUGGAGGCCCAUGUGAAGUGAGCUGUAGCGUAAAGUCUCUCUGGUUUUGCGGUUCUCUGUCCCUCUCAAGCCCCUGGCGGCCAUCUUUGUUUUGACAGGGAGCUGCAGUUCCAGAAACUUCUCUCAGAUGUGCUGAAGUAAGGGGAAAAACACAACAAGCUCACACACAUCGCCUGGCCUGCUCUCGCCCAGCACACACACACACACACACACACACACACACACACACACAUACAUACACACACACACACACACACACACACACACGGUUAAGUGGAUAUGGACACGUUCGCUUCCUGUGUGUGUGUGUGUGUGUGUGUGUGUAUAGUAAAGGGAAUGUAUUUGGCUUUCUGGCAGAAAACUAUGUUUUAAUCGCUGCGGUUCGGCCUUGAAUACCAACAUGUGAGCGUGCACUGAAUUUCACACACCUCCACAUGUGUUAGUGCUUUGUGAUGUAUAGUUCUCAGGCCAAACACACACACACACACACACACACACACACACACACACAUACACACUAAAAGUGAAAGUAGAAAACACACACACACACACACACACACACACACACACACAGGCUGCAUUAAAACAUUAAAUAUGUCACACCACAGUGCUGUUGUGUUCUGGAUUCUGAUUGGUCAGAAGAUGUUGAUUAACUUUCUAUAACAGCAGUAAAUAAAGUACGGAAAUUAAGUUGAUGGUAAAAACCAUAUAAUUUGUGUUAGCACUUGAUGCUAAGUUUAAUUACAGUGUAAUUUUAGCCGAAUGGAGCACUUUCAAAGUACUUUAUCAACACAUCUGAGGUAAAUGUUCCGGACAAUUCCGUACCGUUUCCACCGUCUUUACAUUGUCUUCAUAUGAACAGGUACAAUCACGCUGUAAAUACACUUACUAUCAUGUGCUAGCACAACAAACAACAGGUUGAACAGCUCUGUAUUGAACGCAUGUUAGCUGUGUUAGCACUUGAUGCUAAGUGACAUUACAGUGUAAUUUUAGCCAAAAGCAGCAUUUUAUUAGUUAUUUAACAACACAUCUGAGGUAAAUGUUGACGUUCCGGACAAUUCUGUAUUGAACAAAUAUUACUGUGUUAGCACUUGAUGCUAAGUUACAUUACAGUGUAAUUUUAGCCAAAAGCAGCAUUUUAUUAGUAAUUUAACAACAUAUCUGAGGUAAAUGUUGACGUUCCGGUCAAUUCUGUAUUGAACAAAUGUUAGUUGUGUUAGCGCUUGAUACUGAAUGCUAAUACAGUGUUAUUUUAGCCAAAUGAAGCAUUUUAGCACUAAUUUAUGAAUAUAUAUGAAGUAAAUGUUGAUGUUCCGGACAAUUCUAUAUUGUACAAAUGUUAGUUGUGUUAGCGCUUGAUGCUGAAUGUUAAUGCAGUGUUAUUUUAGCCAAAUGCAGCAUUUUAUUACUAAUUUAUUAAGAUAUCUGAGGUAAAUGUUGAUGUUCCGGACAAUUCUAUAUUGAACAAAUGUUAGCUGUGUUAACGCUUCAUGCUAAGUGACAUUACAGUGUAAUUUAUGCCGAAUGCAGCAUUUUAUUAGUAACUUAACAACAUAUCUGAGGUAAAUGUUGACGUUCCAGACAAUUCCGUAUAAUUUCUAUGGGUACAUUGUCUUCAUAUUGUCUGUAUCAAUCACUUAAACCGCCAUAUACAAGCUAAUUAUAUUGCUAGCCUUAGUUAUUAGCUAACUUUCACCCUAACAACAGUGUUUUCACAGUUAUUACUGCUUGUUCAACUUCACAUUUUUAAUUUAUUACAUUUAAUAAUAAAAAAUACUCAACAAAUUGUAUUAAAAGAAUGUUUUAAUGGCGUUAAUUAAAUAAACUAUAAUAAUUAUAAAUAAUUUAAAUUAAAUUAGUCUCAUGAUUACAGUGUAUAUAAAAUAUACAAAUUAAAUAUGAAAUACUAAAUAUAUUUGAUUUCUAUACUCUGUAUGUGAGGCAGGUUGGUUGAAAAGAUGAAACUGUGAAUUUUCUUCUCGGCUGUGUGUGUGUGUGUGUGUGUGUGUAUGUGUGUGUGUGUGUGUGUGUGCGUUUGAUUGAUUUCUUUCCUCUGGCUUCAUGUUUUUUGCAUGUCCCCCUCAUCUCUGUCCCCCCCUGCGUUGACUUUGGUGAGGCGUCUGAAUAACGAAGGCGGCUCGUUAUGAAAAAUUCCCGCCGUGUCGAGGCGUGAUGUUUUUAGCCACGCAGCAGUAUUAGCCAUGCUAAUUGGGCUCUUUGGACUUAGCCAAUAGAAACGCUAAAUUAAUUAGUCAUGUAGACAAAAUGUCCGAAACAGGAACGGCGACAUAAUUACACCUCCAUCCUACACAAACACACACACACACACACACACUCACACUGCUCUUUUAUUUAUUUAUUCUGAUGUUUCAUUAAUCAGCCUUCGCUUCGUGUGUGUGUGUGUGCGUGUGUGUGUGUGCGUGUGUGUGCGUGUGUGCGUGCGACUCUUUAAUUAACACACUUCAAUACACUUUACAUCCAUCAUCACUCUCUCUUCUCACAUCAUUUUAUCUCUUUUCAUUUUCUCUUUCGUUUUUAUUUUUCCUUCCUUCUUUUCACCUUCUUAAUCUUUUUUCUUAUUCUCACUCCCUCAUUCUUUUCUCCUUUUUCCCUUUGUUCUUUCUAUUUAUCUCAUGUGCUUUUUCUUUUUCCUUUUCCCUUUGACUCUUUUCUUCUUGUUCAUUCUGUCACUCUUCUUCUUUUUUCUAACUUGCUGGUUUUUAAAUUUCACAUGCCUUUUCUUUUUUCCUCACUUGUUCUUUCCUUUUUCCACUUUUUCUUUGCUCACGCCUUCUUUUCCGUCUGUCCUCGCUUCCUACUUCUUUUCUCUUGACGCCUCAUUUUUUGUUGUGACUCAUUUUUUUCUAUUUUUCUCAUUCACUCAUUCAUUUUUUUCCUCGUUUUGUCAAUCUUUUUAUCCUCUUUUCCUCAGUUGUUUUUUGUUACUUUCCUUAUGUCUUUCCUUUUUUCUCUCCUUUCAUCUUUUUAUCUUCUAUACCAUUCUUCUCAAUCACUCGACUUUCAUCUUCUUUUAAUUUUCCCUGCCUUUUAUUAUUUUUCUUUUAUUCACUCUUUCUCUCUGUCCUUCCUCUCUCUUUUCUUUCCCACUUUCUCUUUUUUAUUCUCUUUAUCUCAUUUCAAUCUUUUACAUUCUCACUCUUUUUCCUAUUUCCUUUUCUUUAUUCGUUCUUAAUUUUCAUUUUCUCUCUUUCAUUAUCACUUUAUCUUCUUUCCCCCUCGCUCCUUUUCUUUUUAUGUCCUCUUUUCCUUUUCUAUUUUUUCUUUAUUGCUGUUAAGCGCUUUCAUUCUGUGUUUCUGAAACGGGGAGAAUCAGCGGCUUUUCUACCCUGACAGCAAACACACAUGAUGGUGUGUGUGUGUGAGUGCGUGCGUGCGUGUGUGUGUGUGUGUGUGUGUGUGUGUGUGUGUGUGUGUGCGUGUGUGCGUGUGUGUGUGUGUGUCAGAAGGAGAUGGAGCUGAUGAAGGAGCUGCUGAUGUCGUGUUUCAUUCUCCUCUUGAAGUGGAAAUGAGGCUCACAGUCAGCAUCCUCCCACCCACACACACACACACACACACACACACACACACACACACACAAGGUCACAAAAUGGAGAGUGACACAUUCCUUCUCAGCUUCUUUAAAGUGCACACUUCAGUCAAAGGAAGUGUGUGAAGGUGUAAUUUAGCUCUUUUGGAGUUUAUAAGUGCUGACAAAAUGCCCUGUACACACACAUACACAUACACACACACACACACACACACACACACAUACACACACACACACACACACACACACACACACACACACAAUACGAAUACAUAUUAGGAUUAGUGACGAACAAUGGCGUUGCUUGUUCUCGCUACCAGUUCCUCCCUAGCUUUUCUGUACACACCCACACACACACACACACACACACACACACACACACACUUGGUGAUAGCAUAAAUAACUGUGCUGCAGAAUAAAUAGUUUACAGCAGGAAACACAGUGAUGACAUCAUCACUCCACACACUGUAGUGUGAACAUGAACACACACCAUGUCUACACUCUACACACUCAGCUCAGAUAGGACUGUGUGUGUGUGUGUGCGUGUGUGUGUGUAAUGGUAUCGUGAUUAAAAAGUUAAGCCCGGCUGCGUUUCUAAUUAAUUAAGGAGGAGAGGCAGCAGCGAUUAGUGUGAGAUGAGGCUCUGAUAGUCGUGUGUGUGUGUGUGUGUUUUCUGAAAGCACCUGCCUCAAACUACAACCACUGGAAUGUAACAGAGGCCACCAUCUUGGACGGCCGGAAUCAAUUUUCUAUUUUUAGUGCAGUUUGAUAGCAAUCCGCCCCCUUAAGCCCCACCCCAAGCCCCACCCCUUAUGCCUCACUCCAAGCUCCGCCUCCCAGAGUAUGAAGGAGUAUGAAAUUGAGUUCUAAUGCAAAUAUAAAACUGAAUCUUAGCUGAUCCGCUAUAUUUCGGGGAUAUUGUGGAUAUUUUCACUGGAUUAUUCAUUUAGUGUCUCGCUCUAUCUGUCUGCCUGUCUCUCUCUCUCUCUAAUCCUGGGUUACUAUCUCUCAUCCAUCCCGUUGCUGACUUAACUUUAAUGACUGUUCAAUAUCCAAUUCAUUAAAGUGGCUGUUUUAUUUGUGUGUGUGUGUGUGUGUGUGUGUGUGUGGUAAAUGGGGGAUGGGGGUGGGGGGCACUUCCUGUGAUGAGUUUGGCCAUAUAGACACACUGUGAGCACUUUGACGUGUCUGUGUGUGUGUGUGUGUGUGUGUGUCCUAGUGACAGAUCCUUCAGUCGAUUCGGCCUUUCUACAGAGAGAGAGAGAGAGAGAGAGAGAGAAAGAGAGAGAGAGAGAAAGAGAAAGAGAGAGCGAGAGAGAGAGAGAGAGCAGUAUUUCAUCCCUCACUCCGGGACUGUAAUUGCCUCUGCAGUGCCUCGUCAUUAGAAAGAAGUGACAAGUGAGCUUAACUAUGGCUUCAGGACAGGAUCUAUCUCUCUUUCCUUUCUUUCUCAUUCUCUCUCUCUCUCUUUCAUUUUUAUUUAAGUACAGUAGUUCUUCAGGGGUUCUUUAAGGGUCAAUUAGAUAAUUACAGGUUCUUAGCCUCUUAGUUCUACAAGGAACGCUUCUAACAGGAACAGCCGCUGUCACGAGGUAGUACAUGAAAGGUCUAACGGUUCCUCCAGGGCGAGAAUCUAAGGAACGUUGCGUUUUUCCUUCACGUGUGAUGUUAUUUCAUUUCAGGAAAGAAUUAAACACGGUUUUAAUAAUGUGUGAAAAUAAAGUGCGCUCAGAAAAAAGUGUUCUUCAAUGGUCUAGUAAGGGUUCACUGAAUAAUGACAGGUUCUUUGUUCAUAUCUAGAGCUCUCUGUGAUAGUAAAACACUGGUUCUAUGAGGAACCUUAAAGAGUUACGAGCUCUGUCAAGGGUUUAAGAGAUCACUGGAUCAUUACAGGUUCUGAGAACCCCUUCGGAGACACCGUUAGUAGGUUCUAAGGAGUCUGGGAGGAUUUGACGGAUUUCCCCAGAGGAACUAAAGAAUCUGUAAGGGUUCUACAUUUUGUAGGAGUGUACAUGAAUUUAUUCAGAAGUGCUUUUCCUACACGGAGCGACUUUAAAUAUGUAAAUAUUAUUUUUUUAAAAAGUGAACUGUAUUGAGUAGUGAAAUUCACUCUGACGGCAUUAAUACAUACAUUUUACUGAAACGCGGUGAGGGGAGAAAGAAGGAGUCAGGAGUGCUGGAGGGAGAGAAUAAAAGAGAGAGCGAGUGUGUGUGUGUGUGUGUGUGUGAUGGAGGGAUACAGUAGGAGAGCGCUGGUGUCGUGCACUCACACUCCAAGUGCACUGAUAUUGAUUCGCAGGAAGACAGGAAGCGUCAUAGGGAGAGCGAGACCUCGAGAACAAGUCCCUAAAUCCCUCCAGCAGAGAGACACGGAGACUCGGCUCUGCUAAAGCUCGGCUCUGAUCUGUUCCACACGGCCGAGGGGGGAAGAAAGACAGAACAGAAGAGAGCUCUGUCACCUGCAGAGUGUUAGAGGGGACGUGUGGAGAAAACAGAGAGAGAGAGAGAGAGAGAGAGAGAGAGGGAACGUAGGAGGUGCUGAGGGUCCGUGCGGAGCUGAGCUCAGCAUCGUCACUACAAUAUACAAUAACACUGAUUAGACCUGAGACAGGACACACUUGUCCCUCUUUAACCCCUCACACUCACGCGUUACCGCUCGCUCCCUUCAUCCUCACGCGUUACCGCUCGCUCCCUUCAUCCCUCCGCAUGUUUAUUCACUACGAAUUAUUCCAUAGCGCUAACAGGAAAGACGUAUCAUUACGAGAAUGAUGAGAAGAAUAUGUUGUACAAUGUUAUACAUUGUGAAAGAUUUCAUCUUCAUCCACAAAUACAAAAUAAAUAAAUAAAUAAGCAAAUUACAAAACAUAGCUCCUGGUAAAUAAGUCCUGCAUGACCUGCAUUUGCAUAGUGCAACCUGAUUGGCUCUCAUAUUUAAUGAUGUAAUAACACUCUCCUUUAAAGUAAAAACGUGUUUUUUUCAGUAAGAUAAGUAGCUUUCACAGGGGGAAAAACAAGUAUUGAUGAUUUUUUACAUCAGUCUAAAUGUUACAAUGAACUCCCCAAGCUUUUAUUUUUGUUUGUUUGUUUAUUUGUUUAGUCAUUAUAAUAAUAAUUUCCUUUAAUGACCCCUAUGAAAGGUUUUAACUGUAAUAAACAAUAUCAAGCAGAAUCUACUGUUAUAUAUAAUUAAUAAUAACAUUAAUAAUACUAUUUAAUUAAUACUAUUUACUAUAAUACUAUUAAUAAUUAUUAUUAAUUAAUAAUUAAUAAGAGAGACGUGAUGAAACACGUGUAUUUUAAAUGAAUGCUUUAGGAGAGCAGUGUGUUUGUGUGUGUAUGUGUGUAUAUGAAACCGCUCUUGUCUCUGCGGUGUCGCUGUGCUUGUUUACUCACACACAAAAACAAACACACACCCGUCUCAGCCUGAAUUAUGCACAACACUCCGAUGCACAUUCAGCAUCACCAUCUGCUUCGCCUGUGUGUGUGUGUGUGUGUGUGUGUGUGUGUCUUGUGACAUGUGAGUAAACAAGCACAGUGACACUACAGAGAUAACAGCAGUUUUAGGCACACACACACACACACACACACACACACACACACACACACACACACACACACACACUAAGUUCAGUUUAAUUCAGUUCAGAAGGUACAUAAUAGAGAAAGAAUCUCUCUCUCGCUCUCAUACACACACACACACACACACACACACGCCGAUAAGACACAUAUUUUAUAUGAGUGUGAAGUAAAUUGCACAAUGUCUACUUGUCACACUUCAGAUCAUUCUAAAGACGCACACACACACUCACACACACACACACACAGUCUGUGUGUUUAGACUAGAGUCAGGUCCAAGAGUCUGAGUGGGCGACCAAGAGCUGUUUUUAUAUCAUCCGUUAGUGAAAGCUGAUACGACAUUUUCCUCGUCUGAUCCUUAUUAUAAAAGAAUCUGUCGGCUGCGUCCCAAACGCUCGUGUUUAAUAGAAGGCUGCUAACAUGAACAUGUGGUUUGGGACGGGUACCAGUGUACCAGGGACACUGUUCUGCUGUUAGCUACUCACUAACCUGGCCUGCUAGCUAAUGUUUUAGUUUGUGGUUUGAGUUUGAGAUCCGUUCAUUACAUCUGAACGAUACAUUUAUUAAAACAACUGGCGCCUUAAGUUAGACAGCAAACUAGACAUGACAUUUGGGACGGCAUCAUGGGAUAUCUCUGUUUGGCCAUGAAGGACAGUUCCUCUCUGAAGACUUAAGGGAGUUGCACAUACUUUCUAAGAGUUUAAACAAAUAAAGUGAGAUUUGUGCUCGGUGGUUUUCGAGCCUCUACGAACGACGUACUUCAUGAGACGCGCGUUUAAAAAAGCUCGCCG
ensembl:lncRNA